AAAAAGAAGAAAAGAAAUAUAGAAAGAAAGAGAAAAACACUUGAUACAAAAGGAUUUAAAAUCAAUAAAAAUGAAAAUGAGGUUACUCUGUGCAGAUAAAAAUUCCCUAGAAAAGCUGGUAAUGAAAUAUAAAAAAUAGAGAGAAUUAUUAAUACCGAAAAUGAAAGCAAUAAGAAAGUUUAUCUUUAUAAGAGAAAGAAUAAUUUGAGUUUUUCAGUGUACAUAAAUCAAAAUUCUAAUUUUUAACUUAACAUGUUAAGUAGUAAAUUAUAACGUCUAAUGGAUCGAAAAUUGUGCGAAAUGGUUAUAAUCCCGAAGUCCAAUAGUGCUAAUGAUGGCUGUGAUAUGGAAUAAGAAAAAAAUUAACAAGAAUGAACGAAAAAAAGUAAAGUAUCCGGGAUAUAUAACGGAUAAAAUACGUUUUUUUCUCGCUUUUUUGUUGUUAUCUUCUUUUUUAUCUUCUUCUUGCGACGACAAAAUUUUAUUAUUUGAUUCUUGUGUUAAAAGCUUGAAAAAGAUUUUUACAGUUGACAUCAGAGCGAUGAAAUUGGGGAGACAGAGAAUAAUUUCUCGGUUAAAAAUGCCUGCGACAUUCCCAAUAAUAUAUUCAUCGUCUUUUUCUCUUUCUUCUUUAGAAAUCAAUAUUUAAAAGAAAAAAAAAGUCUUCAAAAGACACAUUCUAUGAUCGACAUUUUACUAUAAUAAAUCGAUCUCAUUUUAGCGAGAAAUUUAAUUCUAGCAUUUAAAAUAAAUAAACGAUUAACAAGUUGCAGAGUAAACCGGAAGUAACAUCUAUUCAAUAAGAGGAUGAUUCUUUAUAUUGAAACUAAUCAUAUAAUUAUCGAACAUAAUUUUUCAUUUAUAAAAUAUUUUUAAAAGAAAAAAAGAUGCUGUUCGUAACAUAACCUAAUUAAGCGUUUCUUAUUAUUUCCUGUUUACUCUGUGCAUUAAUAAAGAGACACGUAUACAUACUAUAUAAUAAAAUAUAUUAUAUUGACAUAGUAGAAAAUUAUGAUUAUGUAUAUGUUGUAUGGAUAAGCUAAAUAACAAUUGUAUGAACAUUACCAUUUAAACGUGUUCAAUGCGUAUAAUACGGAAUGUGUGAAGUUAUAUUGAGAAACUGGCCUAAUAAUACAUAAUGACUUUUGUGCUGAUGAUUUUAUUUAUUCGUGGUUCCGAUAUCAUC